rnacentral:rRNA from 1 species
CCUACGGGAGGCAGCAGUGAGGAAUAUUGGUCAAUGGACGAGAGUCUGAACCAGCCAAGUAGCGUGAAGGAUGACUGCCCUAUGGGUUGUAAACUUCUUUUAUAUGGGAAUAAAAUGUUCCACGUGUGGGAUUUUGUAUGUACCAUAUGAAUAAGGAUCGGCUAACUCCGUGCCAGCAGCCGCGGUAAUACGGAGGAUCCGAGCGUUAUCCGGAUUUAUUGGGUUUAAAGGGAGCGUAGGUGGAUUGUUAAGUCUGUUGUGAAAUUUUGCGGCUCAACCGUAAAAUUGCAGUUGAAACUGGCAGUCUUGAGUACAGGAGAGGUGGGCGGAAUUCGUGGUGUAGCGGUGAAAUGCUUAGAUAUCACGAAGAACUCCGAUUGCGAAGGCAGCUCACUGGAGUGCAACUGACACUGAUGCUCGAAAGUGUGGGUAUCAAACAGGAUUAGAUACCCGAGUAGUC